rnacentral:rRNA from 1 species
UGGGGAAUAUUGGACAAUGGGCGCAAGCCUGAUCCAGCCAUGCCGCGUGAGUGAUGAAGGCCCUAGGGUUGUAAAGCUCUUUCACCGGUGAAGAUAAUGACGGUAACCGGAGAAGAAGCCCCGGCUAACUUCGUGCCAGCAGCCGCGGUAAUACGAAGGGGGCUAGCGUUGUUCGGAUUUACUGGGCGUAAAGCGCACGUAGGCGGACUAUUAAGUCAGGGGUGAAAUCCCGGGGCUCAACCCCGGAACUGCCUUUGAUACUGGUAGUCUUGAGUUCGAGAGAGGUGAGUGGAAUUCCGAGUGUAGAGGUGAAAUUCGUAGAUAUUCGGAGGAACACCAGUGGCGAUGGCGGCUCACUGGCUCGAUACUGACGCUGAGGUGCGAAAGCGUGGGGAGCAAACAGG